UGCCAGCAGCCGCGGUAAUACGGAGGGUGCAAGCGUUGUUCGGAAUUACUGGGCGUAAAGCGCGCGUAGGCGGCUUUUUAAGUCAGAUGGGAAAGUCCACGGCUCAACCGUGGAAGUGCAUUUGAAACUGGAAAGCUUGAGUAUCAGAGGGGAUGGUGGAAUUCCCGGUGUAGAGGUGAAAUUCGCAGAUAUCGGGAGGAAUACCGGUGGCGAAGGCGACUUUCUGGGCUGUUUCUGACGCUGAGGUGCGAAAGCGUGGGUAGCGAACAGGAUUAGAUA
rnacentral:rRNA from 1 species